CCUCCAGUGAUUAAACAUUCAAUAUACCAAUUGUUCCGACUGAAUAGUGGAUUCACUGCGGGUCGACAACCUUUAUAUCGUUAAGUUUCAGCCUUGUAUGAGGUUU
rnacentral:snoRNA from 1 species